AUGCCUCCUCAGAGCCUGCUCUGUGUGCUGGUGGCCUUGGCUUUCUCUGGAUGCAAUGUGGCCCAGAGAGUGACUCAGGUCCAGCCAACAGGCAGCAGUCAGUGGGGAGAAGAAGUCACCCUGGACUGUUCAUAUGAGACAAGUGAAUACUUCUACCGUAUUUUUUGGUACAGGCAGCUUUUUAGUGGAGAGAUGGUUUUCCUUAUUUACCAACCUUCUUUUGACACUCAGAACCAGAGGAGCGGCCGCUACUCUGUAGUCUUCCAGAAAUCAUUCAAGUCCAUCAGCCUUGUCAUUUCAGCCUCACAGCCAGAGGAUUCAGGGACGUACUUCUGCGCUCUCUCGGAACUGA